UAAAUACUCCCUCUGUCCAAAAAUACGUGUCAUCAAAAUGGAUAAAAAGAUAUGUAUCUAAAACUAAAACACGUCUAGAUACAUUUCCUUUUAUCCAUUUUGAUGACAAGUAUUUCCGGACGGAGGGAUUAUUUG
rnacentral:pre_miRNA from 1 species